CCUACGGGAGGCAGCAGUGGGGAAUUUUGCGCAAUGGGGGCAACCCUGACGCAGCAACGCCGCGUGAGUGAUGAAGGCCUUCGGGUCGUAAAGCUCUGUCAGAGGGGAAGAAAUGCAGGUGGUGAACAACCAUUCUGUUUGACGGUACCCUCAAAGGAAGCACCGGCUAACUCCGUGCCAGCAGCCGCGGUAAUACGGAGGGUGCGAGCGUUGUUCGGAAUUAUUGGGCGUAAAGCGCGUGUAGGCGGUUUGUUAAGUCUGAUGGAAAAGCCCCGGGCUCAACCGGGGAAGUGCAUUGGAUACUGGCAGACUUGAGUGCGGGAGAGGGGAGUGGAAUUCCCAGUGUAGGGGUGAAAUCCGUAGAUUUUGGGAGGAACACCGGGGGCGAAGGCGGCUCUCUGGCCCGAUACUGACGCUGAGCCGCGAAAGCGUGGGGAGCAAACGGGAUUAGAUCCC
rnacentral:rRNA from 1 species